GUAAGCAAAAUAAUGGUUUAAACAGACAACCUGGUAGCAUUUUAUGGGAUAUGUUUGAGGGGAGAACAUCAGCUUGGAGACUACUGCAACAGCCCAGAGGUGAAGUAACAGGGAUCCAAACUAAUGUCAGGUCAGCAGGAACACAAAGGGAGGGCCAACUAUGAGCCUAUGAGCUGGGAGACUAAGGAGAAGCAUAUGUUUGGGCUAUGACUGUGGCUAAAGGAGAAGGAAUAGCCAAGGAAUGAUGUCCAGCUUUUCAAUCUCAGUGUCUUGGCCAGAAACAGUAACUGAGGCCCAGUCUUCCUAUUGGGAAAACCAAGUUCUGUCUCAGAUGUCUUGGGUGUGGAGUGAGGGAGUUUGGGGAGAGUUGGAAAGACAAGACUCAAUCACCAGUCACCAAGUUUUACCUCAAAGUUCCUCUUAACAAGAUAUCACUACGUCUGGAGCCAAAUGGAAGGUGACUUGCUUACUAAUAGAACCCACAGGUCUUCGGUGGUCUUUAAGAAAGGUUUCAACUGAAUAUCUGUGGCUGUACUUACAAAAGGUGGGCAGAAGGAGGCAUCCAUUUUGGCAAAUACCUCUGGUCUGAAAGGUACAAAUCAGAACUUUCACCACAUUCCAUCUGCCACUCACUGGUGGUGCCAAC
rnacentral:lncRNA from 1 species